rnacentral:rRNA from 1 species
UAGGGAAUAUUAGUAAUGGGCGAAAGCCUGAACUAGCAACGCCGCGUGUGCGAAGAUGGCCUUCGGGUUGUAAAGCACUUUUUGAGAGGAUGAGGAAGGACGGUACUCUCAGAAUAAGUCUCGGCUAACUACGUGCCAGCAGCCGCGGUAACACGUAGGAGGCGAACGUUAUCCGGAUUUACUGGGCGUAAAGCGCGUGUAGGUGGUUUGGUAAGUAGGGCGUGAAAGCUCCUGGCUCAACUGGGAGAGGCCGUUCUAAACUGCCAAACUAGAGGAUGGUAGAGGGAGGUGGAAUUCCGGCUGUAGCGGUGGAAUGCGCAGAUAUCCGGAGGAACACCAGUGGCGAAAGCGGCCCCUGGACCAUUCCUGACACUCAGACGCGAAAGCUAGGGUAGCAAACGG